AAUAACUUAGUUUGUGGUGUAGAAUCGGAAAUGAAAAACUUUAAUUUAGGUGUAGGUGUGAUCGAUGAAGAAUUUUAAGUACUGAAAAAG
rnacentral:rRNA from 1 species